UACGGAAGGGGCUAGCAUUGUCCGGAAUUACUGGGCGUAAAGAGCGCGUAGGCGGCUUACCAAGUUGGGGGUGAAAUCCCGGAGCUCAACUCCGGAACUGCCUUCAAAACUGGUAGGCAUGAGUCCGGAAGAGGGGCGUGGAAUUCCCAGUGUAGAGGUGAAAUUCGUAGAGAUUGGGAAGAACACCGGUGGCGAAGGCGGCGCCCUGGUCCGGUACUGACGCUGAGGCGCGAAAGAGUGGGGAGCAAACAGG
rnacentral:rRNA from 1 species